rnacentral:lncRNA from 12 species
UUGAAAUUGGAAUGCUGAAUUGGGUGCUUCUCUUUAGAGAGGAAAGAAGACUGUGACAUAAUAAUUUGAUUGAAAAACAUGCAAGGAAGGACAGAGGGAAGAGAUGAAAGGCCUUGACAUCUCUCCAGCAAGAAUGAAAGAGGAAGGUGAUGAUAGGCUGGUGGCUUUUCUACACGGAUUUAGCAGCAAGCAGUGCCUUCAGAGAAGCCAGGUUAAUGUGACAGCUUGGUCAGAGCAAAAGUCUUGGACGAUUUCAGGAGAACUGCAAACAUUGUUGGAGGAAGAAUUUUGGUAAUGGUAAAUGGCAAACAGAUGCAUACGAUAGAGGAAGGCAACUUCCUCUAAGAUCAGGAAAAUGCAAAUGGAGGACAGGAUACAGCCUUUCAAUGUUUAAAG